rnacentral:rRNA from 1 species
UACGGGGGGGGCAAGCGUUGUUCGGAAUUACUGGGCGUAAAGGGGUCGUAGGCGGCCAACUAAGUCAGACGUGAAAUCCCUCGGCUUAACCGGGGAACUGCGUCUGAUACUGGAUGGCUUGAGUUUGGGAGAGGGAUGCGGAAUUCCAGGUGUAGCGGUGAAAUGCGUAGAUAUCUGGAGGAACACCGGUGGCGAAGGCGGCAUCCUGGACCAACACUGACGCUGAGUGAGCGAAAGCCAGGGGAGCGAACAGG